CAGCACUUUGGCACAGACAUCUCAGUCAAUGUACUGUUCUUACAGGCCUUUUCCUUUUCUGUUAGCUUCAGAGCAACCAUGUGCAUAAGAACAAUUUGAACCCCAGUUUGUCACUGCUGCUUUGCUGUUAUUGUUAGAGGAUGAUUCUCGUCACACAUCUCAAAUUAAGAUAUUUUGAGGGCACUCAGAAAAUGGAAGACAUCAAAUGAAAAUGGGCUUUCCAAAAGUGGAGACAGUUCCUGUGAACAGACGUUAGCAAAGACAGUGGAGCCAACAACACAAACACAGAUUGAAGAAAUUUCAUGUUCAUGUCCAUUUGAAUGCCUCUCCGACUUGAUGCAAGAAUCUUCUGUCAGAUGACGUGUACUGGUGCUGAACAAGAGUAAAGAGCUUCUGUCUUCUGUGAUGUCACAACGGACCAUUGCCUGUUUGUCAGUUUGGGCACUUCUCUAGGAAAAGCAGCCAAGGGACCAAGACAGAACAAAUGCAAAGCCACUUUAUCCAGCCAAAACACAACAAUACAACAUCCUCCUGUGUCUUCUCAAGCAUUAUUGUCUCAUGGCACAGAGGUCUCCAAGCUACUGUUCCUCCAGAGAAAACAAGUAUUCUCCAAAAUGGUUAAUUUCUGUGAUACAUGGAGCAGCAAACAAUGAAAAUAGCUUGAUAACAAUCAAUAAGGAAUUUAAUUUGGAGAAGUUUGUGUAGUCAAGAAUACGCGGUCCUCUUAAAUGUGGCCUGAGCUAAGAAGAGAGAGCUGGAUUAUAUGAAACAUAAGUGAAGUAUAAGUGGUUUAGGCUAGUAUUUAAAUACAUGUGAUACAAUGUGUGCAUGUUGUCUAACAAAAAGUAUGACAUUUUAAAAACCCAUCGAGUUCCUGUGUGAUCAAUUGUAUGAUGUCAUAAUACAAUGUACAGAAAGUAGCCAACUUUGCAUUCGUUCUAGACAUAAAAACAGCAUGUUUAUCGGCAACGGUGCAAACAGAGCACGUGAUUAAAGUGUGAUCACUAGAAUAUUUGCAUCUCUUCAAACAUAACUUCUACUAAAACCAGCAUUAAA